UGAGAUGAGAGACUUUGAAAAACAAACAUCUGACAACAUGGAGCCAGCCACCUGCUGAUUGAUUUAAUAACAGCAGAAUGAAGCAACUCUCAUGGACUGACA